rnacentral:rRNA from 1 species
CCCUUUGGGGUGUGACUGCGUACCUUUUGUAUAAUGGGUCAGCGACUUAUAUUCUGUAGCAAGGUUAACCGUAUAGGGGAGCCGUAGGGAAACCGAGUCUUAACCGGGCGUUAAGUUGCAGGGUAUAGACCCGAAACCCGGUGAUCUAGCCAUGGGCAGGUUGAAGGUUGGGUAACACUAACUGGAGGACCGAACCGACUAAUGUUGAAAAAUUAGCGGAUGACCUGUGGCUGGGGGUGAAAGGCCAAUCAAACCGGGAGAUAGCUGGUUCUCCCCGAAAGCUAUUUAGGUAGCGCCUCGUGAAUUCAUCUCCGGGGGUAGAGCACUGUUUCGGCUAGGGGGCCAUCCCGGCUUACCAACCCGAUGCAAACUGCGAAUACCGGAGAAUGUUAUCACGGGAGACACACGGCGGGUGCUAACGUCCGUCGUGAAGAGGGAAACAACCCAGACCGCCAGCUAAGGUCCCAAAGUCAUGGUUAAGUGGGAAACGAUGUGGGAAGGCCCAGACAGCCAGGAUGUUGGCUUAGAAGCAGCCAUCAUUUAAAGAAAGCGUAAUAGCUCACUGGUCGAGUCGGCCUGCGCGGAAGAUGUAACGGGGCUAAACCAUGCACCGAAGCUGCGGCAGCGACGCUGAUGCGUUGUUGGGUAGGGGAGCGUUCU